CGAACCAAAUAAUUCUUUAACUAAGUAAAUAAAUAUCAUAGUAUAUGUUAAUAAUCAUACAAGCCUCGUGUGCAUAUUUAAAACAACAGUCAACCACCAUACUGUAUUGCAAUGGAGUACAUUAAAAUGUAUAAAAAGUAAAUGAAUGUGAAUCCGAGCGAUCGUAAGCAACAAUCGACAAAUAAAAUUUAUUUUCUUGUUAAUCACAAAUUUAAUAUCAAUUUGUGUAAGAACAAAAAGGAAUGUAUAUUCACAAUUGUUCACGUCUUCGUGAAUACUAAAUAGUCGUGUAAUCUCAACAAUAGCACGCAAAUAAUAAUACAAAAGACGUUUGCAGAAGAUUUUGAAUCACAGCACCAGUCAAGAAAUGUUCUUUUAUAAAAGUCUCACGUUAUAUCCAUAUUUUAUGGUCCAAGAAAUAAGAAUCGGUAUUUCCGGAUUUUGUGUCAUUGAAUUACCUACAACUCACAUCAGAAAUAAUUAGACGUUGUAGACCUAACUCUAAAUCAACUGGGAAAACUUCCAAAACCAUUUAAGUAUAAGAAAAUGCAUAGAUACAUAAGUAGAGCUGUAUAUUCGUAAAGGAUUUUGGACCAUUAAAUGCCACAUCAUUCUCACUUUCGAAAACCAUCGGGUGUAUAAUAAUAAUACAUCGAUUGCGAACGUCAACAGACUAUAUUAUUAAUAUAUUAUGUAUACUGUAAACGAUGUUUUGUACGUAUAAUAUUAUAUACUUAUACAGUUAUAUAGUUAUAGUAUCAUUACUUACACGCAGAACAUAAUAAUAUAAUAUCAUUAAGUAUCUACAUAAGUCACCCAAACGGACUUUAAAGCGGUCGGAGGACCGUAAUAUAACGUUAUGUAUAAAUAUGCGCGUGUAGCCUGUACGUCUCGCGUAUGAACUAUGUAAUAGUUACCCGUGUUCGAGUAUACCAUGGACUGAGAUAUAAUUAUAUUUUAAUCUGUGGUGUUUACAUUAUACCAAUUACCUACGUAGACUACAUAUUGUCAUAUCAAUAAAUAAUCACACGUUUUACGGUCUGUCCAGAUAAUUGCCACCCGAUAGACGUAAAUGUGUUUGUUUUCAUGUUGUACAUAAUAUUAUCAUGAGUCACUGAGGGAUAACGGGCAACACUCGCAGGGCUACAUUACGUUUGAUUAUUUUAUAUCAAAAACAACGCGUUCGGGUACAAAAUCAUAAUAUGUUUGGGCACUUACGUCUACUCACAGGAAUUGCUACAUCACUACGAUACUAUAUAAAUUAUAGUGGACUGUUUUAAAGUGUGAAGUGUAAAAUAUAACACAAUAUCUGGAAUUUUCAAACAUUUUUUAGUUAUUAUAAUAUUUUAUUAAUAACCACACAAAUUUGACGUAACAUGUUUUUCACGAAUUUGAAUUAUCAUAAAUAAUAUAUUACUAUUAUAUUACUAUAUAGUAUAAAAUGUAUAAUUCUAUAAUAUACAUACUUCCAGUGAUAUAUUAAAUCACCCAACGAUGUGUGUAUUUUAAAUACCAAACAGGUUAAAAUGACACGCUGUAUUAACCCACUGAUAACUUAUUGAUCAAAAUAUUAAAAUAUUUAAUGUAGUUACGUCUGUUUUAGAUUAAUAUUAGAUUAAAUGUUUAUCAAAGAGGUAUAUUAAAGUUUUUACAAACCCAUAUUUGUACAUCACCAAUCAAUAAUCAUGUGAUAUAAAUAAUUGUAUAGCUAACUACAUCACCGAGCGGUGAGUGAUCUAUUUCACGAAGGCACCGUUAAGUGAUAUAGUAUAGUCGAUAAUAUUAAAGUAGUUUUUUGUGUUUUCGCUUCGUUUCGUUAUUUAUGUCUUAAAAUUAAAUAUAUACAGACUGAUUCUCUAAUCACGCGAUCUCACCCUAUUUUAUACUUUAAUAACGUCAUACUUAUUCAAAUUCUGUUUUUUGGAAAGCUGCUUUAAAACAAUAUUUUCAAAUUAAGAAGUGUACUGUAGUGAAAUAAACCUCUUUAUUAGAAUAAGAACCAUACUUUAUAUUAUUGUCUUUAAUGUAUCUAAAUUGAAUUUUGAAUGAGUGUUUUUCAAGUUAUUGAAAUUAGUGUUUUAACGAUAAUCAUCAAGAUAACGAUUUUACAUAAAAUAUAUUAUAAUAUAAUAUGUAAUAUAUUUUGUUCGAGAAUUUAUUUUAAAUUUUAACAUACUCAAACAAUGUUAAAAAUUUUGAAAUAGCUUACCUUCAUUAUUAUGAACUAUUAGUGCAUUCUAAAUACACAGAAGAUGUAAUAACUGAUCAUCAACUCAAAAACUCGUAAUUCGAGUUCAAAUUUCAAUUUAAAUGCAUACAAUUUUCAAAACAAAAAAAAGUAGGCGAUGGUCACCGCUCUGUUGUAGGUACAUUAAGAUAUCCAGUGGGUCAUUAUUUGGGUGUGUCAAAUUUGAAUCCAAUAAUGUAAUAUCAUAUUAUUCAUUAAAAUAUAAGAAUUCUAUUGUAAAUUAUAGAAAUAACGGUAAUAUAAUUAUUUGAUUUAAACCUUAAGUAUCUAUAGUUUUUGCUUUUAAGUUAGGUUGUAUAAAAAACUGAAAUCGAUUUUGUCGAAAAUUGGAUUUGCGUAAAAAGUUCCGUUUUUCUUAGUAUUUUUUUUCUUUGUUUUUCCUAGUAAUAAAAUAAAUUCAGACAUUUUUUACUUUUGAUUCUUUUAAGUAUCAACUAGAUCUGAUUUUCUACCAGAAACCACUUCCAUUUUUGAAAACCAAAGCAUUUUAUUAACUGCUUAUCGGGUUUGUAAUAUAGACACACAAAAAACACACAUCAUUGUAAAAACAAUAUAUUCAUUGAUCUGCUCAGAAUCUAAAAAAAAAAUCAUUUGCUUAACAGAACUGUAAAAUAGAAGGGUUUUAAUUAGAAAACUAACCUACUAUAUAAAAUUCCCAUCGUAUACGUAAAAAAAAUCUGAGUAUUUGAAAAUAUGGUCUUAAUAAAAAGCUUUAGCCCUUAAGUACUUAUAUCUAUGUGUAUUUAAACAUUUCAAAAAUCAGAAUUUAAAUAAAAGCUUAAUUAAAGGGAAAAUUGGGAUGAGCAUGGUUGGUGAAUCACUCUGUAUAUCAUAUAGGUACGACACAGUCAAUAAAUAAAAUAUACAAUUCAUAAUGUGGAUAUCGUGUGCUAAAAACCAGUCUCUCGCGUCCGGACUUAUAGAGAAUCCGCAUGCGAUGGCGAUUUUGCCAGUUUAGGAAUGCUAACACAGCCACUUUCGUUGAAACGGGAGAAACAAUAUAAUGUUAGGAGUACAUCUGCAUAGUGGGUCAAACACGAUGAGGUCAUCAGUUAUUCAAUGCGACUAUAUAUACUUAAGGUAUACGACUGCCGGUCAGCCAUGUACGUAUGCAAAAUAUUAAAUAUUCAAUCCCUGAACAAAUGGCCCCGUCAUAGUUUUAUACAUCACGGAUAAUAAUUGGUUCCCCAUUUUUUUCUACGUGGCACAUAAUUGAAAAAUAAUCAAAAUAAUACAAUUAGGUAUUUUGAAAGUUGAUUACAAAAUAUUUUUGAUGCACAAUAAAAUAAUAUAAAAUAUUAUAAAAUCAAGGUUUUAUUUAUUUAUACACUAUAGAAGACUGUCACCUGGAGAAAUAAAACAGAUAAUUUAUUUUACUAAAAGAUAUAUUGAUCGAAAUAAUAAAAUACGAAUUGGAUAUUAUAUAAAAUCAACAUUAUGACGUGUAGAAAGAAGGUGUAUUUUAAAACAGUUUGCUAAAAAUAGUUUUAUAACCGAUUAGAUUAUGUUCAUGUCUUCUUGUCAUAUACUUAAAAAUAUGCUUAAAUUUUGUUGUGCUUUUAUUACAUAAUACUAUACUGUAAAAAAAUGUUCAAUAAUAUAUUGUUUUCCACAAAAAAUUGAAAAAAGAGUCAAUCAUGGAGUAGUGGUUACCAACUUAUUGUUCAAUUAUCCGCAUAAUUAGAACGUGUGCUAUGAAGAUGCAAGCUUCUGUUCUUCAAAUAAUACGUUCAUGAUAACAAAAGUUAUAAUAUGGUGGUGAUUAAACUGUUUAGAAUAUUUUAUUAAUUAAUAAAUAAUAUUAAACUUUCAACAUUUUUAAUUUAGAAAAAUGGUCCAAGUAUAAUAAAAUACUAGAUUCAAUAUUACAUCCAUUUAAUAUUUUUGUAAUACUGUUUUUUUGAACUAUUAUUCUUGGUGUAAACAUUUUAAUAACUGAUAAAUUGAUCUUUCGAAUUUUGAAUUAGGUAAAUUGACAUUAAAAAUAAUAUAUAUACGAGUAUUCACUAAAUAAUUUACAAUAAAAAAAAAGGUUCUUAUUUGAAAAAUAGUAGUUUUAUCAUCACAAGACACUGGACUUAGUAAAAAAUAAUCUCAAUUAUUUGAAAAUUAAUCUAUAAAAUAUAUUAUGAUUUAAAUACAUUUAAAAAUUUAAAAAUCAAAAUUUAAAUAAAUUCAUUGCUGAAGAAAUAAAUGAAGGUCAGUAUGACUGGAGAAUCACCUUGUAUAUAAUAUUAUAUAGGUGUAAGUACAAGGUACCAUCCAUAGAAUUAGCAAGCUUUAAACAGUUUCAUUUUUGGUUAUUAUAUUAAAACUUUUUUUUUGUUAUUGAUAUUUUUUAAGUCGUAAAAAAGUGUAUUGUACGUGUCAGAAAUUCCAAAAUACUUCAGAUGCGUGCCAUUCGUCGAAACUCGGAAAUACAAAUAUAAUAUUUACAAUUUACUUUACAUGUAUACAUAAAUUAAACAGUUAUUAAUAAUUAUGAUAUAAUAAUAUACGUUAAAGUCGUCAAAACACUAAACUCAAAAAUGUGUAUUCGUUUGCGAUUUUUCAUUUAAAAUGUUUUUUUUUUUUUUUUAAUAUGAAUAGUAAUGAAUAUAAUUCAUAACAAUAAUAAUUAAUAUUAUUAUGAGCUUAGCGAGCUUGGUCAUGUUCAUAUAUAGUACGUGUUUAACAUAGGCCAUAGUCCUCAUUAUUAUAAAUGUAUAACAUUUUUAUUCGUAUUCACAAAUAUCAUUGAUACUUACCUACGCGUUUUAUUUAAUGGUGCAUGGAACAUCACGUAAAUUCACAUUAUUAAUGUUGGUAGGUAUAAUACUGAUAUACUAUAUUGUGUAGUAUGUAUUAUUUUUUAAAAUCUACGUGAGAUAACAUCUAAGUAUGUUAUUAUUAUUUUACUUUUUAGACUAAAUGUUUUUUUUUUUAACUUGACAAAAUGUAAAAUACAUAAAUCAUUAAUAUUCUUUUAAAUUUUUACAAUAAAAAUAUUACCUAGUACUUUAAAUAUUUUAUGUAGGAUCCUUUACUGGCCUUGCUAACAAAUACCAGGUUUUGUAAAACAAUACGUCUUUAUAAAAUGCUUAUACUGCAGUCUGAAUAUGCUGUAGACUAAAUAAGUAAUUUAAAUGUUAAGGCGCGUGUUGUUCAAUAUAUAUUAUGAAUUAUGAUUUAAUUUUUAUUAUUAUUAUUAUUAAUAGUAGUAGUAUAAUAAACUUAGACAUAAACUAUCCAUAAAAUAUCCGUAAUUACUGUAAUUUUAUUGCUAAUAGCAAGUAUCGUUUUUUUCUCUUAAUUUAUAAUUAUGACUUAUGUUUAUUUAUGAUGAAUUCAAAAAAUUAUAUAUAAUAACCUACGUUUGUUUAUUAAAUAUGUGAACGAUAAAUAUUGGAAAACCGUAUUCAAAAUAAUUGUUUUAAUCUAUUAUGGGUACUAGGUACUGCUGUACUGGUUAAGUAUAGUAAAAUAUAUGGUACAUUUAAGUUGUAAAAAAAAUGCACAUUUUUUCUAACAUAAUUUAAUAUAUUAUUGUUACCUACCAAUCUUAAAUGUAUGUAAUUUUUAAAUAUAAUUAUUAAUAAUAAGUGACUUGAACGAUUUUAUAUUUAAUAUAAAUGACAUAGGUAGUGUAAGUAACAAGUGUAUACUGUAUAGUGUUGUACAUUACAAUUAACUUGAGAAAAAUGUUGUAUUUAAAUUUGUCAAUAAAUAGAUAUUAUUAUAGAACUGAAAUAAAUACAUUGAUGAUUUAGUUUUAUGAUUUAGCUUAAGUAAAAAUACAAAUAAUAUUAUUAUAAUUUAUAAUACUCACACGUUAAUAAUAAUUUAAUACAAUAAUAAUUUAUAAAAUUUAAACAAUACAAUAUGUAUUAUUAUUAUUAAUUAUAAUACAUUAAAAUAUAUAUUAUAGGUGUAUCAAUUAGUAUAUUUUAUACAAUAACAUUAUUAACAAUAUGUGAUAUUAUACUAAAUAGAUUAUUUUUAUAACAAUAUAUGUUUAUGUAUAUCAUUAUUAUUAUAUAACUUAAUGAUAAAUCAAAAACUGAGUACUUAGGACCGUAACUACAAUUUUCGUAGUAACAGGAAGAAGACAAAAAGGAGGUUGAACAGGAAAUAUAAAAGUCAGUGAUGCGUUAGCGAAAAAUUAUAACUGUUUUCAAUGAAAUAACAAUAGAUUUUGCUCUAAGCAUGGAAAAUUAAUAAUAAUGGAAAAAUGUAUAUUGAACAAUACAACUAAAUCAGCAAAACAAUUUAUUCUUGUUUGGUACAAUUUUAUUUUGUUUACUGCUCAACGACCUCAGUCCCUCCGGAAAAAUUAUUGUAUAGAUUUACAAUAUAUUGUGAUACCUAUAUAGGUAUCUUAAAAAUGAAUAGUCUUUGGUUUCUCAACAAAGAAGAUGUAUAGUAACAUAUAAUUUACUACCUGUAUUAAUAUUAUAUUCUAAAUUUCUAAAAACAUUUUAUCUUAAUUAUAUUUAUUUGUAUUUCAAGUUUAUAUAUAGUUAGAUAUUACAUAUUAUACGUUUAUAUAUAUAUUACAGUUAAUAUCAAAAAUAAUACUACAUGGAUUUCUGAUGGUAGUUAUACUUAAGUUAGGUAUAAUUUAUAACUUUAUAAGUAUAUUGUAAGUACCUAUAUGCAACAGACUUCUGGGUUAUAAUUACUGCAAGAACAAUAUAAAUAAGUUGUAUUAUUCACAUAAUUUAUUUGUGUGAACAUUCACAGA